rnacentral:rRNA from 1 species
CCUACGGGAGGCAGCAGUGGGGAAUAUUGGGCAAUGGAGGCAACUCUGACCCAGCAACGCCGCGUGAAUGAUGAAGGUCUUCGGAUUGUAAAGCUCUUUUCUAAGGGAAGAAGAAAGUGACGGUACCUUAGGAAUAAGCCUCGGCUAACUACGUGCCAGCAGCCGCGGUAAUACGGAGGCGGCAAGCGUUAUCCGGAAUGACUGGGCGUAAAGGGUGCGUAGGUGGUUUGACAAGUUAGUAGCGAAACUCCGGGGCUCAACUUCGGAACUACUACUAAAACUGUUGGACUUGAGUGCAGGAGGGGCAAGCGGAAUUCCUAGUGUAGCGGUGAAAUGCGUAGAUAUUAGGAGGAACACCAGUGGCGAAGGCGGAUUACUAGACUGUAACUGACACUGAGGCACGAAAGCGUGGGGAGCAAACAGGAUUAGAUACCCGGGUAGUC